rnacentral:tRNA from 1 species
GGGGUUGUGGCUCAGUGGUAGAGCACUUUCCUGACAUGUGUGUGCUCUGAGUUCGAUCCUCAGCACCA